AGCGAACGCUGGCGGCAGGCCUAACACAUGCAAGUCGAACGAACCCUCCGGGGUUAGUGGCGGACGGGUGAGUAACACGUGGGAACGUGCCCUUAGGUUCGGAAUAACUCAGGGAAACUUGUGCUAAUACCGAAUGUGCCCUUCGGGGGAAAGAUUUAUCGCCUGUAGAGCGGCCCGCGUCUGAUUAGCUAGUUGGUGAGGUAAUGGCUCACCAAGGCUAUGAUCAGUAGCUGGUCUGAGAGGAUGACCAGCCACAUUGGGACUGAGACACGGCCCAAACUCCUACGGGAGGCAGCAGUGGGGAAUCUUGCGCAAUGGGCGAAAGCCUGACGCAGCCAUGCCGCGUGGAUGAUGAAGGUCUUAGGAUUGUAAAAUCCUUUCACCGGUGAAGAUAAUGACUGUAGCCGGAGAAGAAGCCCCGGCUAACUUCGUGCCAGCAGCCGCCGUAACAC
rnacentral:rRNA from 1 species